CUCCUAUCAUUAGACGCUUCAUUAGCGACAAUAAUGAAGUCUGAUAAACAGGUAUCACGUCUCAUGUGUCAGUUGGAAACAUUUUAGUCCUAAUAAAAACUAAACGCAAAGACAAUGUUUACGUUCGAAUGAUGCUUCGUUAUCGCUGAUUCCAUAACGCUUCGCUACACAAGAUGGAUUCGAGACUGUUUUCUUCAGUCGCAGAUUUUAUGGUCGAUGGAUCGAGAGUGACUGCAAUCGAAUGAAAAAUGUCAGCGAGCCGGCAAAAUCAUAUUUAAAUGUGUAAAAAUAAAGAGACUUAGUCGUACAUAAACGUU